CGGCGUGCCUAACACAUGCAAGUCGAGCGCGAAAGGAGCAAUCCGAGUAGAGCGGCGCACGGGUGCGUAACACGUGGGUAAUCUGCCUUAGAGUCAGGGAUAACUUUCCGAAAGGUUAGCUAAUACCUGGUAAGCUUACGAUGUCUUCGGACGUUGUGGGAAAAGUAGGCCUCUAUUUAUAAGCUUACGCUCUGAGAUGAGCCCGCGGCCCAUCAGCUAGUUGGCGGUGUAACGGACCACCAAGGCAACGACGGGUAGCUGGUCUGAGAGGACGAUCAGCCACACUGGAACUGAGACACGGUCCAGACUCCUACGGGAGGCAGCAGUGGGGAAUUUUCCACAAUGGGCGAAAGCCUGAUGGAGCAACGCCGCGUGUGUGAUGAAGGUUUUCGGGUCGUAAAGCACUUUCGACCGGGACGAAAAACCUCUGGCUAACAUCCAGGGGCCUGACGGUACCGGGAGAAGAAGCACCGGCUAACUCUGUGCCAGCAGCCGCGGUAAUACAGAGGGUGCAAGCGUUGUUCGGAAUUAUUGGGCGUAAAGCGCGUGUAGGCGGCUUGGCAAGUCAGAUGUGAAAGCCCUCGGCUUAACCGAGGAAGUGCGUCUGA
rnacentral:rRNA from 1 species